AUGGCCAUGAGGGUCAUUAAUGGAGCGGCAGUGGAGGCUUAAGUUUAGAGGUGAACCCUUAAGCUGACCAUCUUGAUGCAUCCUCAGAGCUGGAUAAGAAUCAUAUGUUCUUGUUAGAUAUGUGAAGGAUAUCUCAGUCUCGUUAGAAACAUAAUCGAAGCGGACAUCUGGACCAGAACCUUGUAGAUAAGUAUUUUUAAAUUCACCAUCCUCCCAAGGUCCACUUGUCCAGUGGAUAUUCCCUUGCCUUAGAAUGACCAUUUGACCUGUUUCAUUGAGGUCUAAUGUAAAUAAUCCUUCGGCCGGUAGCUCAUUAUUCCGCCAAGAAGUUAGUGACCAUUUGUCACCAGUCUUGAGAUUAAUUCCCAGUUUCAUUCCAGGUAGAAGUGCGUCUGUUGGGUUAUCAAAGCUUUGCCAUAAAAUAUGCUUAACAGACCCAUUUGGAUGCAGUUCUCGAAGCACCAAGUUCCCUGUAUUCAACAGAGUAACACUUGCGUUGCGUGUUACUAAUCGAGUUGGAUUGAAGAGAUCAAGAACAGUUCUUCCAGUAGAUAAGAUGCUGAGCUUUCCAUGACCAUCUAUGAUGAGCUUGCCGUUGAUAUCUGGGAUUGGGUUGUUUCUGUUUGCUACCCAAACUGCCAUAUUACUAAAGUCAUCAGAUACCUUCUUUUGGUAGUGGUCCGAAUUACGGAUUUCUUUGUUGUAGAACACCCCUAAAUAAGGAUGCACCAUAGUGCCAAAGCUAAAUAACUUCAAACAGAAAACCCUGUUAGAUGAAAUCAAUUCAUCCCAGUCCUUAAGCUCUUGGCCUUGAUGUAAGGUAUCUGUUUCUGAAUAACAAGGAUUGUUGAAUAAAAACCAAAAUAUAGUGAUGAAGAGGAAUAUUAUGCUUCCGAAUGCCAUUGUUUCGGGGUACACAGCUCCUCUCUGGGAUGAGAAGUGGUAUUAUCAUAUGAUUCUAAUUGGCAACUUUACUUGACUCAAGACUUCGUCAACAUAAAUUAGACAUCUGAAAGGGAUGUUAUAUUUCUACCCCUUUCUCCACGGCCAAGUUGUUAGGAUGCCUUCUGUAUGGCCUACAAACUGACUUUUGUGCAAAUUCAGAUUUUUUUUACUUGGGUUUUGGAUGUCU
rnacentral:lncRNA from 1 species